AUGACAAAGAUGGGACGCUUUUGCACUGGAUAUUGCAAAUUGUAUGUGUUUAUUUUCCUAUAUUUCCCUGUUCUUCUCUGUGUAGGGCUGUGUAGAAGUGAACACAGGAUGUUCACAUCUGUGAAGGCAACAGAAACGUCAUUCCAAAUUGCAAUGGAGACAGAGAGCAUCCGGUCGGGCGGAUUCUUUACCAAGCUGAGUCACCAGGGAAGCCGGAAGAAGGACCAGCUGGUCUGUUUAUCAGUGACAGAAGACAGGAGGAGGAGAGAACCGUUUCUGAGUGAGGCAAUCAAAUCUGUCUUGGUCGCUUCAUGGCCGGAAGGCCCUCGGAUAGCAAGGCUGGAGUGUGGGAAAUGCUGUCUCCUCACAGGAUGGAUGCCGUCAGUUUCCUGCUGCCUAAAGAUCCUGAUGCUGGGCAAGACUGAGCGCAAGAGGAGAAGGGGACGACAGAGGAUGAGAUGGUUGGAUGGCAUCACUGACUCGGUGGACAUGAGUUUGAGCAAGCUCCAGGAGAUAGUGAAGGACAGUUGGCAUGAGUGACUUGGUCAGUUCAUGGUGUCGCAAAGCGUCAGACAUGACUUAGUGAUUGAACAACAACAGCAAUGACUAAAGAUGCUGAACAUUUUUCUCUUGUGAUUAUAUGCCAUUCUUAUCUGUUCUUGGGUGAAGUGCACUUGUACUUGAUGAGUGACUAUAUUUAUACAUGUAGAAUGACAUUUGUGUUGAUAGGAAUUUUUUAGUGUUAAGUGAAAUAAUCAUGUGAAUUAUUUUUCUUUUUUUUUUUUUUUAAAGCCCCAU
rnacentral:lncRNA from 1 species